UACGUAGGGGGCGAGCGUUGUCCGGAAUCAUUGGGCGUAAAGCGCGUGUAGGCGGCCCGGUAAGUCCGCUGUGAAAGUCCAGGGCUCAACCCUGGGAUGCCGGUGGAUACUGUCGGGCUCGAGUCCGGAAGAGGCGAGUGGAAUUCCUGGUGUAGCGGUGAAAUGCGCAGAUAUCAGGAGGAACACCAAUGGCGAAGGCAGCUCGCUGGAACGGUACUGACGCUGUGGCGCGAAAGCGUGGGGAGCAAACAGG
rnacentral:rRNA from 1 species